GAUUAACGCUGGCGGCGUGCCUAACACAUGCAAGUCGAGCGGCAGCGAGUUUUACACUGAAUUCUGGAAGCUUCUAGUUGAAAGAGAAGAUUUAUCCAAGAAUUUUGUGUAAAAUGUCGGCGAGCGGCGGACGGCUGAGUAACGCGUGGGAACGUACCCCAAAGUGGGGGAUAACGCAUCGAAAGGUGUGCUAAUACCGCAUAUGGUCUUCGGAUUAAAGCCUUCGGGCGCUUUGGGAACGGCCUGCGUAAGAUUAGAUAGUUGGUGGGGUAAUGGCCUACCAAGUCGACGAUCUUUAACUGGUUUGAGAGGAUGAUCAGUCAGACUGGAACUGAGACACGGUCCAGACUCCUACGGGAGGCAGCAGUGAGGAAUCUUCCACAAUGGGCGAAAGCCUGAUGGAGCAACGCCGCGUGCAGGAUGAAGGCCUUCGGGUUGUAAACUGCUUUUAUAAGUGAGGAUUAUGACAGUAACUUAUGAAUAAGGAUCGGCUAACUACGUG
rnacentral:rRNA from 1 species